CGCGCGACCCCAGCCCGUCCAGAGCGCGCCCCGGCACCGACCCUCGGGGCGAGGCGAGCGCAGCCCCCGCUGGCCAACAAGGAUCUGAAACUAUCAGUGGGGCAGUUGGAAGCACGUCUCUACACAUGGUUUUCCAGGGUGGUAUCUUUGCAGCACGCAGAAAUCCUCUUCUGAAGAGUCCUUUGCUGUAUUCCCCCGUGCCUCCCCACCCCCACCCUCCCACCCCCGCUAAUGGGCAUGUUUCCGUGAACACUGAAGACGAAAAACAUGCGAUUUUGAAUGUGUCUCUUUCACGGUCACACAUUUCUUUUUAUUGUGCAUCUUGGCUGAGCCACGCUUUAAAAUUCCCAGCAACCGUUCCCAAGUCAGUUUUCAAAGAGUCUUGCACCUUUGACCCAAUAAAAACCAGAGAGAACUGGACGAAGACUUGUGGCAUGUCUCGG
rnacentral:lncRNA from 1 species